CCUACGGGAGGCAGCAGUGAGGAAUAUUGGUCAAUGGGCGCGAGCCUGAACCAGCCAAGUAGCGUGAAGGAUGACUGCCCUACGGGUUGUAAACUUCUUUUGUAAAGGAGUAAAGUGAGGCACGUGUGCCUUUUUGUGUGUACUUUAUGAAUAAGCAUCGGCUAACUCCGUGCCAGCAGCCGCGGUAAUACGGAGGAUUCGAGCGUUAUCCGGAUUUAUUGGGUUUAAAGGGAGCGUAGAUGGGUUGUUAAGUCAGUUGUGAAAGUUGGGGGCUCAACCGUAAAAUUGCAAUUGAUACUGGCAGUCUUGAGUACAUGUGAGGUAUGCGGAAUUCGUGGUGUAGCGGUGAAAUGCUUAGAUAUCACGCAGAACUCCGAUUGCGAAGGCAGCGUACUAAACUGCCACUGACAUUGAUGCUCGAAAGUGUGGGUAUCAAACAGGAUUAGAUACCCGAGUAGUC
rnacentral:rRNA from 1 species